rnacentral:sRNA from 1 species
UGAAGGUACUUGGAGAAGGAAUCUACAAGAUGGUAGAGGUAGGUAUGUGUGGAGAAAUGGGAAUCAGUAUACUGGAGAGUGGCGUAGUGGUGUGAUU